UGGGGAAUCUUGCGCAAUGGGCGAAAGCCUGACGCAGCGACGCCGCGUGAGUGAUGAAGGCCUUCGGGUUGUAAAGCUCUGUGGGGAGAGACGAAUAAGUUUCGGCGAAUACCCGAAGCGAUGACGGUAUCUCCUUAGCAAGCACCGGCUAACUCUGUGCCAGCAGCCGCGGUAAGACAGAGGGUGCAAACGUUGUUCGGAAUUACUGGGCGUAAAGCGUGUGUAGGCGGUCUCGUAAGUCGGAUGUGAAAGCCCCGGGCUCAACCCGGGAAGUGCACUCGAUACUGCGGGACUAGAGUGUCGGAGAGGUUGGUGGAAUUCUCGGUGUAGAGGUGAAAUUCGUAGAUAUCGAGAGGAACACCGGUGGCGAAGGCGGCCAACUGGACGAACACUGACGCUG
rnacentral:rRNA from 1 species